UACGGAGGGAGCUAGCGUUGUUCGGAAUUACUGGGCGUAAAGCGCACGUAGGCGGCUUUGUAAGUUAGAGGUGAAAGCCCGGGGCUCAACUCCGGAACUGCCUUUAAGACUGCAUCGCUUGAAUCCAGGAGAGGUGAGUGGAAUUCCGAGUGUAGAGGUGAAAUUCGUAGAUAUUCGGAAGAAACACCAGUGGCGAAGGCGGCUCACUGGACCGGCAUUGACGCUGAUGUGCGAAAGCGUGGGGAGCAACAGGG
rnacentral:rRNA from 1 species